CGACCUUCACCCCGCGACCCCGCUCCAACCCUUCUACGCCUCUGGCCUCUUCAUUCAGCAAUAGCCACAAUAGCGCCCUAGCGUCGCGUCAACGAACUACUCUGUCAAAACAAACAGGCGUCACAUUGCUCAUUGCUUUGUUGUGGUCGGCAGGCGUGCACCGCGCAAAUACGAAUGCUCAAAAUACAAAACGGUCAAGUUCUUUCAUUGUGCGGGCAUCGUUAGGGUUUAUAGAGAGCGAUAAUUGUGUCGCAGAAUUGUUGUUUUCUAGCAGAUGUAGAUUGCUUCAGUGCGGCUUUGUAUGCAAAUGCAUGUUCGGUUGCUGGUGUGCUGUCUUACUGUUUGUUUGGUGUUGGACGGUUUGUAUCAUAGUUUCGGUUGACAUCGAUAGGUGUUGUGACUGCUGGUGAACAUAUGUUGUUGUGCACACUUGUGAUUUCGGCAUGUGAGAGUGUGUGGCGUGGGUAUGAAAGACGGGACUGCAUGACACAGGUGGCUGCGUCUAUGCACGAUAUAAGGAACAAAAACCGAGAGACACGGGACGAAGAAACAAACACGACAAGAUUGUCAGAGACGGUCACACAGUUUGUUCUUUGCGCGUUAUGCACCAGUUUGUCUGCGCCCUGUCCCUUCUGCAUGACAAACUUGAGUCCUUGCAUUGAGUGCCUCUACCCACCGAGGGAGUCUUCAUCCUGCCUCAAGAAAUACAAAUCCACCAAAUAGCUGCCCUUACUGCCAGAAGAAAUUCUUCGACCGUUCCACGAUGAAACGGCACAUGAAACGGCAUUCCCUGUUUCGUGAGACAUUCGACUGCUUGGUGUGCUUACGGUCGUUCUCUCGGAAAGACAAGCUGAGGGAACACCUCAAAAGUGCGAGGCAUCGCAAUUUUGUGAAAGAGAAUGUCCUCGAUGACACACCUCCAGUCCUUGUGUCAACUGGUCUGAGUCUUGUACCUGCACUAAGAAAAUAGCACCUGUUCAUUUCCUCGAAGUCAUAAUCUAGUUGAAAGGCCUUCAGAGUCCAAAUGAUCUCAGGAUACGGAAAUACUCAUAACUAUUUCUUUUCUACGGGGCUUUUAUGUUGCCUUGCACGAUCGUAUCGCACUUGCCCGUUAGCGGCCAAAUAGAGUUCAAGGAGGCGUACUGUGUUUUUCUCCAUGUUAUGUGAUAUGUUGUACUAAGAAUGCCUUGUGUGUGAUGUUGAAAGUAGAUUUGCUAGUAAGCAUACUAAUAAUUUAAUUAGGUGUCUCACUUUAAAACAACUAACAUGUACACAAUUCCUCCUCGGCACAUUAUAGAAUGGCUUACAUGACCACAAGUCUAUCAGUGUGACACAAAAUUACAAUCCACAUCGCAAUUGCAUUGCAAAACAUAAGGCAGCACGUAACUGUCCUCAAUACGUUGGAGUUUGAUGAAGAUUUCUCUGAAGUCUUAUUGGGUUUUCUUUUCUUUUUUUUUUUUUGUCGUUGACACUAUUAUUGCUAAGAAACAACAAAAAUGCUGCGUGCAUUUAACUCCCUAUUCUAGUAAAAAUUCAUCACAUUCACCUGUGUUUGCUUCACGUUACCUUUGUGGGCGACAGGCUGCACCAGUAGCAAGCGGUAGACAAUAUACAACACAUGCACUAUUCAGUACCAGUUUGGUCGACAAUCCAACAUGGUGGAAUGUAAUGAUGUGAUUAGCUUGCUCGUUGCACUUUCUGACAACUUCAGUUUGCCUUCAGUUUUUCUUAGCAAUGAUCACCUGUUGUGCCAUCAGUCAUUGGACUAUUAUGAUGCAAGACCUUUUGCAUCGCUUUUGUUGUUCCUAAAUAGAUGCAGCAUCUGCAAAACAUUCUAUGCUCCAACUUCAGGAAUUCCUUUCUUGGAAGUUUGUGAUGUUUGAAGCGUGUCGGAUGGUCUCUUACCCUUUUGUGACACUUUAAACCGUGUAGCAAUUUCUAUGUAACCCCGUGUGAUCUGCGUCUGGUGAACCACUAGGUUUAUAUGAAACUGUGUGAUUAAUGCCCACUAGUGCAGAUUGAUUAGAUACAGAUUAAAUUACUGAAGCAAAAUUCUUGCUCUGUUGAAAGCUGGUCACUCCAACUUCAAAAUUUUGUGGUAAAGUAGCAGUAUAGUUAAAAUAUGUGCCCACAUACUUUAAGCUGAAAUAAGUAAGUUGCCCUGCUUGAAGGUUAUCACAAAGGACGCUUGACCUCUCUUGUAAGCCACUGCCUUGUACUCUGCUUGUAAGCCACUGCCUUACUCCUGACUGCAAGGUGCAUUUACAGGUACUGUAGUGUGAUAAGACCUUGCAAAAACCUUCAAGUGCUCCUUAAGCAAAGAAGCGUGCAACAAAAAUAUAAGUAGAGCCUGAAGUUUUAGGGUUUUACCCGAUUCUUCCCCGAAUUUGCACCCCGAAUUGAAGGUUGCCUCUUUAGGGUAAAACCUGAUUUUUACCAGGUAAAUUGCCCUCUCUGGGAUGUCUAUAGGAAUGCACCAACUUACUUGUUUGGCAGAAAAAUGUAGUUACAUCACCGUUUGUACCAAAUUGCUACAGUUAGUUUGAAUAACGGAGUCCGAUUUCUCCCCGAUUUUAGCGCAAUGGAAGUUUUUUCACUCGAAUUCGCAUGAAUUUAGUGCACAUGUUUAUUUACCGAUUUUUACCCCCCGAAUUUAGAAAAAAAUAUUUCUCGAAAACUUCAGGCUCUAAAUAUAAGAUGUCUUCAAGUGAUCUUUACCUGCCUUUGAGAAGCUCCAGAGGUUUUAUAUGCAGUAAUGGGAAAUUUUCCCCAACUUAUACUGUUUAGCUUGAAUGUGUCAUCACUGCAGCAUAUCUACCUGAGUGGCUUUCAAGUGCAGAUAAGCACUAUGCUGUCUGUAUUCUCAUGGAAGAAAAAAAUGUGCAAACUUACAAAGAUGACAACUUAUGCAGCACUUUAUACUUGUCACUUUAAUGGCUGUAUUGCUCAAGUGUGUGAUCUACAUGUGUCAAUAAAAGCACCAUAUUUUUCAGUA